rnacentral:rRNA from 1 species
AACGAACGCUGGCGGCAGGCUUAACACAUGCAAGUCGAGCGCCCCGCAAGGGGAGCGGCAGACGGGAGAGUAACGCGUGGGAAUCUACUCAUCUCUACGGAAUAACGCAUGGAAACGUGUGCUAAUACCGUAUACGUCCUUCGGGAGAAAGAUUUAUCGGAGAUGGAUGAGCCCGCGUUGGAUUAGCUGGUUGGCGGGGUAAGGGCCUACCCAGGCGACGAUCCAUAGCUGGUCUGAGAGGAUGACCAGCCACACUGGCACUGAGACACGGCCCAGACUCCUGCGGGAGGCGGCGGUGGGGAAUGUUGGACGAUGGGGGCAAGCCUGAUCCUGCCCGGCCGGGUGGGUGAUGAAGGCGCUGGGAUUGUAAAGCUCUUGGACCGGUGAAGAUAAGGACGGUAACCGGAGAGGAAGCCCCGGCUAACUUCGUGCCAGCCGCCGCAGUAAAAC